AUGUGGGGAUCUCAUUUCCCUGUUUCGUUCCUGUGGCAAGUCCCUUCCCGACUUUCGCAACAACAAGGAAAUUCACCUGUUCGGAAAGUCUAUUUUGGACGUCGAGUUCCUUCGCGCUUUGGAGGAGAACGGGAACCUGAGGGAAGAGGCCUGUCAACUUCCUCUGCGAGGAGAUAAUUACGCGGGCACGCAAGGCCCCCCGAUGCCUUCCACAGAGUACAUUGCUUGGUGUUAUCGACCGCCCACGAUCACAGAC
rnacentral:ribozyme from 1 species